GGCGGGUCUCCUCGCAUUGCAAGAUGGUGAACCUGGUCAGGCCCGGAAGGGAGCAGCCACAACCAUUUACUGCAAGUGCCGGGGGUAGGCUCGCCUCC
rnacentral:SRP_RNA from 1 species